UACGGAGGGGAGCUAGCGUUGUCCGGAAUUACUGGGCGUAAAGCGCACGUAGGCGGCUAUUCAAGUCAGAGGUGAAAGCCCGGGGGCUCAACCCCCGGAACUGCCUUUGAAACUAGAUAGCUAGAAUCUUGGAGAGGUCAGUGGAAUUCCGAGUGUAGAGGUGAAAUUCGUAGAUAUUCGGAAGAACACCAGUGGCGAAGGCGACUGACUGGACAAGUAUUGACGCUGAGGUGCGAAAGCGUGGGGAGCAAACAGGG
rnacentral:rRNA from 1 species